rnacentral:misc_RNA from 1 species
AGCAGCCGCGGUAAUUCCAGCUCCAAUAGCGUAUAUUAAAGUUGUUGCAGUUAAAAAGCUCGUAGUUGAAUUUCGGGGUUAGUAGGUUGGUCAUGCCUCUGGUAUGUACUGGUCUCACUGAUUCCUCCUUCCUGAUGAGCCGUAAUGCCAUUAAUUUGGUGUUGCGGGGAAUUUGGACUGUUACUUUGAAAAAUUAGAGUGUUUAAAGCAAGCUAACGCUUGAAUACAUUAGCAUGGAUUAAUGAAAUAGGACGUUCGAUCCUAUUUUGUUGGUUUCUAGGAUUGACGUAAUGAUUAAUAGGGAUAGUUGGGGGCAUUAGUAUUCAAUUGUCAGAGGUGAAAUUCUUGGAUUUAUUGAAGACUAACUACUGCGAAAGCAUUUGCCAAGGAUGUUUUCAUUAAUCAAGAACGAAAGUUAGGGGAUCGAAGACGAUCAGAUACCGUCGUAGUCUUAACCAUAAACUAUGCCGACUAGGGAUCGGAUGAUGUUAAUUUUUAAUGACUCAUUCGGCGCCUUACG